rnacentral:rRNA from 1 species
CAGUAGCCGCGGUAAUACGUAGGGUGCAAGCGUUAAUCGGAAUUACUGGGCGUAAAGCGUACGUAGGCGGUUUGUUAAGUCUGCUGUGAAAUCCCCGGGCUCAACCUGGGAAUGGCAGUGGAUACUGGCAAGCUAGAGUGUGUCAGAGGAUGGUGGAAUUCCCGGUGUAGCGGUGAAAUGCGUAGAGAUCGGGAGGAACAUCAGUGGCGAAGGCGGCCAUCUGGGACAACACUGACGCUGAGGCACGAAAGCGUGGGGAGCAAACAGGAUUAGAUACCCGAGUAGUCCCUGUCUCUUAUAC